rnacentral:lncRNA from 1 species
GGGGGGGGGGAGGCCCCGCUCGGCCCGGCUCGGUUGCUGCAGAUUGCUGCGGAGCGAGCGGCGCUCGGGGUUGAGCAUCGCUAAUAACAUAGAGUCAUCUGUUCACAGCGCGGUGUCGCGCGCAGCGCAGCGGUCGAGUGUCCGUCUGUCUGUCCGUGCCUCUGGUUUGAAGGUGCGGUUUUGGAAACGGAGUAACUCAGCAGGGAGACCACGCCAGCCUUUAGCCCUGAGGUGCUGCUGCAAAUGUCAGAGCUCAAGGCUGAGUCUCGCUGCCUGACACUUAGUGAAAGCUUUUCUGCCAUCCCCUGUGCUUGUAGAACUUGUAACUGACCUCGGGGACUCCCCGAGGACCAGUGGCCAAAGCCCGCUGCCUUUUGGCUGCUUAAGGUCCAGAAUUCACAAGCCCUCACACAAGCAGUUUAAUGUCACAUCUGACAUUUCUUGGCUAAGAAACUUGUCAUUUUGCUGGCUCUUGCGCUGGAAGACAGAAUUUUCCUUCCUUGGUGUAUAUUUUUCUUUGUGCCUCCCUCUCAGAGCUAAAGGAGAACUAGAUGUGUCCCAGCUUGGACAUCAUGGAGAGUGAAAUCAAAGUUCUGUUUGAUUUAUCUGAUGAGUUCAUUUUACAGCAUCUUAUUGCUCUGCGUCUUCAACUGCUCAGCCUUGUGGUGAGGUAUGGAAGGUCAUUCCCAGGGGAAAAUUAAUAAGUUCUAAUGGGCUCAAGUGAAACAGGUGCACUGCAGUUUUUAUCCCUUCUGCAGAAUGUCUGUAUUUGAAAUCAGGAGGGAGGCAGAAUUAUUCAGUGUUUGAGAAUGCACUCUCAGUUGGAGUAUACAACCUUUUAUUUUGCCUGUGUUCAUAAACUGUUCCCUUUCUAUAAGCCAGAGAAACCCUGAAGCUUUUGUAGUUUCUUCUGUCAAGUGUUUUUCCAUACUGCUUUCUUCAGGUUCCACUCUGGGGUUAAAAUGCCUCAUGAUAGAAGAUUGUAUUGGAAGCUUUAUCUCAUAGGAUGAUCCAAAGCAGCUGGUACAUGGUGCAUAAAGAAAUGUUGCUGUUUAAUGGACUCUUUCUGCAGAAAUCUGGCUGUAUUUUCUCUUAACUGUGUCUUCCACAAACUGAAGAGAAGGUGCAAUCGAUAGCUGUGCUCUCAGAAGGUUUGUGGUGUAGCUGUCAAAUUCCUUUAAGGCUGUUAAACAUUUGUUUAAGUCAGAAUCCCAGUUCAGUGUAGUCACA